rnacentral:rRNA from 1 species
UACGUAGGGUGCAAGCGUUAAUCGGAAUUACUGGGCGUAAAGCGUGCGCAGGCGGUUUUGUAAGUCUGUCGUGAAAGCCCCGGGCUCAACCUGGGAAUUGCGAUGGAGACUGCAAGGCUUGAAUCUGGCAGGAGGGGGGUAGAAUUCCACGUGUAGCAGUGAAAUGCGUAGAGAUGUGGAGGAACACCGAUGGCGAAGGCAGCCCCCCUGGGUCAAGAUUGACGCUCAUGCACGAAAGCGUGGGGAGCAAACAGG